rnacentral:rRNA from 1 species
AACGAACGCUGGCGGCAUGCCUAACACAUGCGAGUCGAACGAGACCUUCGGGUCUAGUGGCGCACGGGUGCGUAACGCGUGGGAACCUGCCCUCAGGUUCGGAAUAACUCCCCGAAAGGGGUGCUAAUACCGGAUAAUGUCUUCGGACCAAAGAUUUAUCGCCUUUGGAUGGGCCCGCGUUGGAUUAGCUAGUUGGUAGGGUAAAAGCCUACCAAGGCGACGAUCCAUAGCUGGUCUGAGAGGAUGAUCAGCCACACUGGGACUGAGACACGGCCCAGACUACUACGGGAGGCAGCAGUGGGGAAUAUUGGACAAUGGGCGAAAGCCUGAUCCAGCAAUGCCGCGUGAGUGAUGAAGGCCUUAGGGUUGUAAAGCUCUUUUACCCGGGAUGAUAAUGACAGUACCGGGAGAAUAAGCGCCGGCUAACUCCGUG